AGUGACCAGAAAGCAAGUGUGAGCCUUCUGUUAUGCCCGGACAGGGCCACCAGAGGGCUCCUUGGUCUAGUGGUAACGCCA
rnacentral:miRNA from 1 species